rnacentral:tRNA from 1 species
GGGCACUUAGCUCAGCGGUAGAGCGCCUCGCUUACACCGAGGAUGUCGGCGGUUCGAUCCCGUCAGUGCCCA